CCCAUUUCCCUGUCUUUCAAC
rnacentral:miRNA from 16 species